CCUACGGGGCGCAGCAGUAGGGAAUUUUCGUCAAUGGGCGCAAGCCUGAACGAGCAAUGCCGCGUGAACGAGGAAGUUCUUCGGAUCGUAAAGUUCUGUUGAAGGGGAAAAAGAGCGGAGAGAGGAAAUGGUCUCCGAUUGAUAUUACCCUUCGAGGAAGUCACGGCUAACUACGUGCCAGCAGCCGCGGUAAUACGUAGGUGGCGAGCAUUAUCCGGAAUGAUUGGGCGUAAAGGGUGCGUAGGCGGCCUGCUAAGUCUGGAGUGAAAGGUACCGGCUCAACCGGUACAGGCUCUGGAAACUGGCGGGCUAGAGAGCAGGAGAGGGCGGUGGAACUCCAUGUGUAGCGGUAAAAUGCGUAGAUAUAUGGAAGAACACCAGUGGCGAAGGCGGCCGCCUGGCCUGUUACUGACGCUGAGGCACGAAAGCGUGGGGAGCAAAUAGGAUUAGAUACCCUGGUAGUC
rnacentral:rRNA from 1 species